rnacentral:rRNA from 1 species
GACGAACGCUGGCGGCAUGCCUAACACAUGCAAGUCGAGCGAGUGGAGUUCUUCGGAACAAAGCUAGCGGCGGACGGGUGAGUAACACGUGGGCAACCUGCCUCAUAGAGGGGAAUAGCCUUCCGAAAGGGAGAUUAAUACCGCAUAAGAUUGUAGCUUCGCAUGAAGUAGCAAUUAAAGGAGCAAUCCGCUAUGAGAUGGGCCCGCGGCGCAUUAGCUAGUUGGUGAGGUAACGGCUCACCAAGGCGACGAUGCGUAGCCGACCUGAGAGGGUGAUCGGCCACAUUGGGACUGAGACACGGCCCAGACUCCUACGGGGGGCAGCAGUGGGGAAUAUUGCACAAUGGGGGAAACCCUGAUGCAGCAAUGCCGCGUGAGUGAUGACGGCCUUCGGGUUGUAAAGCUCUGUCUUCAGGGACGAUAAUGACGGUACCUGAGGAGGAAGCCACGGCUAACUACGUGCCAGCAGCCGCCGCCG